AGAGUUUGAUAUGGCUCAGGAUGAACGCUAGCGACAGGCUAACACAUGCAAGCGAGGGGCAGCACGGGAGUAGCAAGUACUUGGUGGCGACCGGCGCACGGGUGAGUAACGCGUAUGCAACCUACCUAUCAGAGGGGAAUAACCCGGCGAAAGUCGGACUAAUACCGCAUAAAACAGGGGCACCGCGUGGUGAUAUUUGUUAAAGAAAUUCGCUGAUAGAUGGGCAUGCGUUCCAUUUAGGUAGUUGGUGAGGUAACGGCUCACCAAGCCGACGAUGGAUAGGGGAACUGAGAGGUUGGUCCCCCACACUGGUACUGAGACACGGACCAGACUCCUACGGGAGGCAGCAGUGAGGAAUAUUGGUCAAUGGGCGGGAGCCUGAACCAGCCAAGUCGCGUGAAAGGAAGAAGGAUCUAUGGUUCGUAAACUUCUUUUGCAGGGGAAUAAAGUGCAGGACGUGUCCUGUUUUGUAUGUACCCUGAGAAUAAGGAUCGGCUAACUCCGUGCCAGCAGCUGC
rnacentral:rRNA from 1 species